rnacentral:rRNA from 1 species
UACGAAGGGGGCUAGCGUUGUUCGGAAUUACUGGGCGUAAAGCGCACGUAGGCGGAUAUUUAAGUCAGGGGUGAAAUCCCGGGGCUCAACCCCGGAACUGCCUUUGAUACUGGGUAUCUCGAGUCCGAGAGAGGUGAGUGGAAUUCCGAGUGUAGAGGUGAAAUUCGUAGAUAUUGGGAAGAACACCGGUGGCGAAGGCGGCUCACUGGCCCGUUUCUGACGCUGCAGCGCGAAAGCGUGGGGAUCAAACAGG